UACGUAGGUGGCGAGCGUUGUCCGGAUUUACUGGGCGUAAAGGGCGUGCAGGCGGUUUGUUAAGUGCAGCGUGAAAGCUCCCGGCUCAACUGGGAGAGGUCUUUGCAUACUGGCAAACUCGAGGGAGGCAGAGGAAAGUGGAAUUCCCGGUGUAGUGGUGAUAUGCGUAGAUAUCGGGAGGAACACCUGUGGCGAAGGCAGGUCUCUGGGCCACUACUGACGCUGAGGAGCGAAAGCAUGGGGAGCGAACAGG
rnacentral:rRNA from 1 species